CCCUGCUUCGACUGUCCCCGGGCCCCGCCCCUUUCUUAAAGACACAGCUCUGUCCCAGGCGGCUGAGGCCGGGUUCGAGCCUGGGGCUGGGGGCUGGGAGGCCUCCUGUGUGCUUGGGUUCCUGAGUCACUUCCAUCGCCCCGGCCCUCUCCUUGGCAUGCGUAUCGGCCUAGGCGGGCCUUAAGACUCCAGAUCAACCUAUUUCAAGUCACCUUUGAUUCUUGACGGGGUUAACAAUGGAAAUCCGAAGCACUGAUGGAUGACAUUAAUGGAUCAGAAGGCGAUGCAGAAGGCUCCGGUCCUGGAGAAAAGAUCAAGUGAUGACAGUAAGAACAGGAAGUCAAGUAGCAGAGUAUUUCCGGUUCUGAGGGCUGGAUUGUUGCCUUGCCAAGUGAAAGGGUAGGUUUUGAGCCUCUGGGAAUGACUUCAGGUCCUGGACUUCAAGCAGAUUCUUCAUGGCCAGAGAGUUUGAAGUUCAGGCUGCAGCUCUGGUCCUUGGUCCCUUCACCAGGAAAAUGUGGGGCUCACUCAGGCUGGUGAUCCCCAGAACUUUGGAAGUCAGGAGCCCCUAGGGAUGGCGUUAUCCACCUCUAAACUGGGGUUCCUGCUUUCAGAUGGUUGCGGUGUAUCCAGGCAGAAUGUCCAGCCACCUUCACUGCCAAGGGAGUUGACAGGACAACAGGAACCGGUCCCUUCCAAUGAGGUUCCAGGGUCUUGGAAUCAAACCUCCGGAGGUUUUCUGAGGUCUGUGCCUGAGAGUCUCCUGCUGGAUCCCACCACAGAGUCUCGGCUGAACCGGGGUUCCUUACCUGGGGAUCUUGCUGGGGCCUCCAAAAUGUAAGACCAAGGGCCUUACCAAACACUCCGAGGAGCUGACUGCAGUGAAGCACACCCGGGGAUCCCAGCGGUGCCUCCAAAAUGUAAGACCAAGGGCCUUACCAAACGCUCUGAGGAGCUGACUGCAGCGAAGAACACCCAGGAAGGAACACACCAGACAAGUUGGAAAGUAAAACAGACCUUAGUCUGGCCAGACGGCACUCCCAAAGCAAAAUAGCUUAGAGAGGCCCCAACUUAUAUUUUUGACAGAGGAUUUUAUCCAGUGUCAAUUCUUCCAUGUGGGCCAACUGAAGUUUUUGAACAAGUAUUAUGUUUAAGGGAAUCCUCUACGUACUCUAUUCAUUUAAAUCUGUGAAUAAAACCAAGAUGACAUUUCCCAUACCCUGAAUGAUGCCAGUCCUCUCCACUAUGCAUUCUCAUGCAUUUUAGACAGGUGAUAUAAUGAAAGUUUUGCCAUUCUAUAUUUAGUGUUUCUCAUGUAUUGAGCACAAGUGGAAUGUAUUUGAAGAGAAGUAGAGGGGCCAGGGAUUUAGCUCAGUGGUUCUGCUGCCUGCUUUGUAAGCACAAGGACCCGAGUUUGAUCCCUGGUACCAAAAAAAAAGAGAAGUAGAAUGAGUUAAGGCUUUUACCUAAGGUAUUCUCACCCAAUAUUUUUCAUUUUUUUCUAAAGGAACCUGGAAUAUUUGAAGGAUUUUCCUUGUUACUUACAUACAGAAGCUUUCUCAUUCAUGAGAAUUCCUGUCUUCAAUACUUAGAGGAACAAAUGAAGGUUUUCCACAUUGCUCACAUAUGAGGGGUUUGUGCCCGG
ensembl:lncRNA